rnacentral:rRNA from 1 species
GACGAACGCUGGCGGCGUGCUUAACACAUGCAAGUCGAACGGUGAAGGGAUCAGCUUGCUGGUUCUGGAUGAGUGGCGAACGGGUGAGUAACACGUGAGUAACCUGCCCCCUUCUUCUGGAUAACCGCAUGAAAGUGUGGCUAAUACGGGAUAUUCUGCGCCUGCUGCAUGGUGGGUGUGGGAAAGAUAUUGUUUCGGUGGGGGAUGGGCUCGCGGCCUAUCAGCUUGUUGGUGGGGUGAUGGCCUACCAAGGCGGUGACGGGUAGCCGGCCUGAGAGGGUGGACGGUCACACGGGGACUGAGACACGGCCCAGACUCCUACGGGAGGCAGCAGUGGGGAAUAUUGCACAAUGGGCGCAAGCCUGAUGCAGCGACGCCGCGUGAGGGAGGGAGGCCUUCGGGGUGUGAACCUCUUUCGCCAGUGAAGCAGGCCUGUCCCUUGUGGGUGGGUUGACGGUAGCUGGAGAAGAAGCGCCGGCUAACUACGUG